UUUUUAAGAUAUUGUGGUGUGAAGCCAAGUAACAUAGGUGAAGAAUUGAUUGACGACACAGGUCUGCUUUCUAACAAUGACGUGUCAAAAAUGGACGAAACACUGAGAAAGCUUGAUAAAGAUGACGACACUUUUCCAGUAGGAAAUAGUGUUGUGGAGUCACAAGGCAAUGCUGAGUUCGUUAAUAAUGAGCCAGAUGCAAUUAAAGCUAUUUUAAGAGAUUGUGUUGAA